rnacentral:rRNA from 1 species
CAGCCGUAAACUAUGCUCGCUAGGUGUCAGGCAUGGCGCGACCGUGUCUGGUGCCGCAGGGAAGCCGUGAAGCGAGCCACCUGGGAAGUACGGCCGCAAGGCUGAACUUAAGGAUUGGCGGGGGAGCACAACAACGGGUGGAGCCUGCGGUUUAAUUGGACUCAACGCCGGACAACUCACCGGGGGACGACAGCAAUAUGUAGGCCAGGCUGAAGACCUUGCCUGAAUCGCUGAGAGGUGGUGCAUGGCGUAGACGUCU